rnacentral:rRNA from 1 species
UACGUAGGCAGCAAGCGUUGUUCGGAAUUACUGGGCGUAAAGGGUGCGUAGGCGGCGCGGUAAGUCGGAUGUGAAAUCUCGGAGCUUAACUCCGAAACUGCAUUCGAUACUGCCGUGCUUGAGGACUGGAGAGGAGACUGGAAUUUACGGUGUAGCGGUGAAAUGCGUAGAUAUCGUAAGGAAGACCAGUGGCGAAGGCGGGUCUCUGGACAGUUCCUGACGCUGAGGCACGAAGGCCAGGGGAGCAAACGGG